GAUGAACGCUGGCGGCGUGCCUAAUACAUGCAAGUCGAGCGAACGGACGAGAAGCUUGCUUCUCUGAUGUUAGCGGCGGACGGGUGAGUAACACGUGGAUAACCUACCUAUAAGACUGGGAUAACUUCGGGAAACCGGAGCUAAUACCGGAUGAUAUUUUGAACCGCAUGGUUCAAAAGUGAAAGACGGUCUUGCUGUCACUUAUAGAUGGAUCCGCGCUGCAUUAGCUAGUUGGUAAGGUAACGGCUUACCAAGGCAACGAUGCAUAGCCGACCUGAGAGGGUGAUCGGCCACACUGGAACUGAGACACGGUCCAGACUCCUACGGGAGGCAGCAGUAGGGAAUCUGCCGCAGUGGGCGAAAGCCUGACGGAGCAACGCCGCGUGAGUGAUGAAGGUCUUCGGAUCGUAAAACUCGGUUAUUAGGGAAGAACAUAUGUGUAAGUAACUGUGCACAUCUUGACGGUACCUAAUCAGAAAGCCACGGCUAACUACGUG
rnacentral:rRNA from 1 species